ACCGGUUUUCACAGACCCCCCACAUAGCCAAUACCAGUUAAAACAUGUACAUACGCGUUUAGACUUAGCAACUUCUACUUGUCAAAUCGGAUAAUGUCAAGAAUAGAGCAAGAACACCUGACAAUUGGGAAUUGCACGCACAAACCACUUCUUUUGUGUAAAUCAUAAGAAAGAGGCGCAAAGAAAUUUCAAAUAGCAAAGAACACGAUUCUAUUGCUUGCUGAGAGCUUUCUGCUGAGAUAUGGAGUUU
rnacentral:misc_RNA from 1 species